UCAGGUGAAAGGAUGGAACGU
rnacentral:misc_RNA from 1 species